GUAUAAGUUUAUUGUUUUUUAGAUCGAUGGUCCUGCUUGAGGACCUGGAGGACCAGAUGAUGCUGCUGAUGACUGGAGACGAUUUGCAGGUAGCUUGCAGAGGACGAGAUGGGCAGAUGAUUGCCCAGACGCUGCACUAGGACUCGCAGGCGGUGCUGCUGCUGGCUGACGUGGAUUAACAGGUAAUGCUGUUGCAGAUGGACUUGCUGGACGAUACG